UAUGUGAUCGUCUCUCGCAUAUCAAUAAGCGGAGGAAAAGAAACUAACAAGGAUUCCCCUAGUAACGGCGAGUGAAGCGGGAAGAGCUCAAAUUUGAAAUCUUAAAGGGUUUCCCUUUACGAAUUGUAGUUUAAAGAAGUGUUUUCUGUUGAGGUUUUGGUAAAAGUUCUUUGGAAUAGGACAUCAUAGAGGGUGAGAAUCCCGUAUUUGACCUUUACUUUCAACUUUGUGAUAGCACUUUCAAAGAGUCGGAUUGUUUGGGAAUGCAGUCCAAAAUGGGUGGUAAAUUUCAUCUAAAGCUAAAUAUUGGCGAGAGACCGAUAGCGAACAAGUACCGUGAGGGAAAGAUGAAAAGAACUUUGAAAAGAGAGUUAAACAGUACGUGAAAUUGUCAAAAGGGAAGCGUUUGACACCAGUGUUGUUUUUCUGAAAAUCAAUUAAAGAACUGUUUAUGCUAAGUUGUUUAGACUUUAUCAGCUAACUGUUUAGUUUUGAGCUUUUCUUUAAUGCACUUUUCAGUUAACAAGUCAACAUCAAUUUCUUUUGCUGUAAAAAAGCUUGAGGAAGGUGGCUUGAGAUUCGUCUUAAGUGUUUAUAGCCUCUUGCCUAUGCAGUCGGAGAGAUUGAGGUCUGCAGCGUAGAUCCUUCGGGGCUAAAUGCAUUUGUGCUAAGUUAUAGCAUUUUAUAGACAACUUGUUGACUAUGAUUUGUCUUGUAGCUUACUCGCUUAUGUUAUUUUACCUACGCUUAGGAUGUUGAUCUACAGAGCGAGAG
rnacentral:rRNA from 1 species